AUUGAACGCUGGCGGCAGGCUUAACACAUGCAAGUCGAGCGGGGUGAUGGUGCUUGCACUAUCACUUAGCGGCGGACGGGUGAGUAAUGCUUAGGAAUCUGCCUAUUAGUGGGGGACAACAUCUCGAAAGGGAUGCUAAUACCGCAUGCGUCCUACGGGAGAAAGCAGGGGAUCACUUGUGACCUUGCGCUAAUAGAUGAGCCUAAGUCGGAUUAGCUAGUUGGUGGGGUAAAGGCCGACCAAGGCGACGAUCUGUAGCGGGUCUGAGAGGAUGAGCCGCCACACUGGGACUGAGACACGGCCCAGACUCCUACGGGAGGCAGCAGUGGGGAAUAUUGGACAAUGGGGGGAACCCUGAUCCAGCCAUGCCGCGUGUGUGAAGAAGGCCUUAUGGUUGUAAUGCACUUUAAGCGAGGAGGAGGCUCUUUUGGUUAAUACCCAAGAUGAGUGGACGUUACUCGCAGAAUAAGCACCGGCUAACUCUGUGCCAGCCGCCGCCGUAA
rnacentral:rRNA from 1 species